rnacentral:rRNA from 1 species
GACGAACGCUGGCGGCGUGCCUAAUACAUGCAAGUAGAACGCUGAAGGAGGAGCUUGCUUCUCUGGAUGAGUUGCGAACGGGUGAGUAACGCGUAGGUAACCUGCCUGGUAGCGGGGGAUAACUAUUGGAAACGAUAGCUAAUACCGCAUAAGAGUAGAUGUUGCAUGACAUUUGCUUAAAAGGUGCAAUUGCAUCACUACCAGAUGGACCUGCGUUGUAUUAGCUAGUUGGUGAGGUAACGGCUCACCAAGGCAACGAUACAUAGCCGACCUGAGAGGGGGAUCGGCCACACUGGGACUGAGACACGGCCCAGACUCCUACGGGAGGCAGCAGUAGGGAAUCUUCGGCAAUAGACGGAAGUCUGACCGAGCAACGCCGCGUGAGUGAAGAAGGUUUUCGGAUCGUAAAGCUCUGUUGUAAGAGAAGAACGAGUGUGAGAGUGGAAAGUUCACACUGUGACGGUAUCUUACCAGAAAGGGACGGCUAACUACGUG